GUUGGGACCCGCAGGGUAGAACGGGAGGCGGCCAAUUCGCUGCUCCGUGGAGCUGACUGCGUUCUGAGGGUAUAAUGGAGUCAUGAAGAUCAACCGGCUUCAACCAUGAGGACAAAGACAGCAGGACAGAAGAUGGCAGAGUAGCAAAAGGGAAAGAACCUGGGUCCCUGGAUGACCUGGUGGAGGAAAGCCUGACUGUCUACUCUGAACUGCUAUAUCUACAGGCACACAAGAAAAUUGUCCAUGUGAAAAAUGACAAGAAAUAGCAGUUAUGAAUAUCAACGAUUACUGACAG